rnacentral:rRNA from 1 species
GAUGAACGCUGGCGGCGUGCCUAAUACAUGCAAGUCGAACGCUUUGUCUUUAAUUGAUAUGAAGAGCUUGCUCUGAUUUGAUUUUAUCUGACAAAGAGUGGCGAACGGGUGAGUAACACGUGGGUAACCUACCUCUUAGCAGGGGAUAACAUUUGGAAACAAGUGCUAAUACCGUAUAACACUAACAACCGCAUGGUUGUUAGUUGAAAGAUGGUUCUGCUAUCACUAAGAGAUGGACCCGCGGUGCAUUAGCUAGUUGGUAAGGUAAUGGCUUACCAAGGCGAUGACGCGUAGCCGAGUUGAGAGACUGAUCGGCCACAAUGGGACUGAGACACGGCCCAUACUCCUACGGGAGGCAGCAGUAGGGAAUCUUCCACAAUGGGCGCAAGCCUGAUGGAGCAACGCCGCGUGUGUGAUGAAGGGUUUCGGCUCGUAAAACACUGUUAUAAGAGAAGAACGACAUUGAGAGUAACUGUUCAGUGUGUGACGGUAUCUUAUCAGAAAGGAACGGCUAAAUACGUG